ensembl:lncRNA
UCUCUUUUUUUNAAAAAAAACUGUCCAUAUGCUGNGAUCAUCAGCAGGGCCCUCCUGCGGUGGGGUGAUGGGGAGGAGUCCGGUGGGGGGGCUCGUGCUUUGCCCUUGAUUAUUGCUCCAAACUGCACCUUGAUGUCCGCUGCAGAUCAUUACNGUGCAGUUUGGCACCGUCGCCUGGAGCCGGGCAUCCCUUGCCGCCGUCCGCACGCUGCCCGAACGCCUGAGCUGCUCCUGCCGUGGCCACCCUGCUUGCCUUGCUUCGGCUGGGAGAAAGAAUUGCGGGAGCACCGUUCACUUGGAAAAUUCCUUCCAGAGAGCCCUUUACGCAGAUGGCGAGACUUUUCGGCCUUUGGGAAGGCUUUUAAACUUUCCUAUUCCAUCCCAAGUCAUAAUUUAUGCAAAGGAACACAGAAAACUGUUAACAAGUUUGGCUCAAGUCUAUGUCAGAAAAUGAUCCAGAAGUGGAGUUAACAGGAGGACGAANUCAGAGCGAUAAGUAAAAAGAAGCAAAACCCUUGCCUGCAGACCAGUGGGCAAAUGACCAGGNUUGGAGAAAGAGCUGGAUCAGGAGUUGAAGAGCUGAAGAGUUGGGUCUGAAUCAGAGAAACUCUGGUUAUGUUGCUUCAACAAAAGUGGUUCUAACUGAGGCAACAACAAGGGCAGCAGCACGGGGAUCUGAUGGUUUUGAUGGCACAAAAAGUCGCAAUAGAAGGUUUAUGGAGAAGAAUGGUCUACCUAUGUGAACAUGAGCAAGGAUAGCCCAGAAAAUGCCAGAACAGUAUGAAAAUCAGUGGUGUAAUUUCAGAUUUGUUAAUCAAUGCCAGAAAGACCUUGGCCAAACUGUCUGUACAGAUGAAGUGUUUUUAACAUUUUUUGUAACUUGAAUAAGUGGGUUGAUUUUAAAUGUGCAAAAAUAGUAACUGCUGCAUCAUCAGGCCACAAGACGGCACACUGUACUGCUGUUUUAUCUUGUUUAGGUUUUAUCUGUCUUAUAUUCAGAAGAAAAAUGCUGUCAAAGCAAAAAUUCCACCAGGUAUUUUUGCUCACGUUCAUUGUAAAGGGUGGAUGAAUGAAGAUGGAAUGAAAUGAAAGGUUGGAAAACAAGCUGGUCAUAGUAGCUUGGUGCCCUCCUCAAGAAUCCAACCUUACUGGUGUGUGGGACCAGUGAACACUGACUGCUGAAUUUCCAGCUGGACUUUUGCAUCGGUUACAGGCACUGGAUGUUUCUGUUAACAAACUCUUUAAAGCCUCCUCACGUACACAGUGGUGGAGUGGCACACAAUAUGCUUGAAAGCCCACUGGCUGGAUGAGGAACCCAUCAGCUGCUCAGGCACGUCAGUGGAUGGCAACUGCUGGAGGUGCUGCAAAGGCCAAGGCAGUUGUUAGGUCAUUUAAGAAACGUGGCAUCAGCACAGAGGAGGACAGUGACAGUCUACCAUUAGUAGGAGCCACGAGAGGAUGACACCAGUGAUCAAUUUUCAGGUUCUGAACAUAAAUCAAACCUUGCUGCCUUGCCUUUACUAUCCAUUGUUCUUUGAAACUGUAUUUUUUGGUUUUACAUGGUGGGUUGUUUUUUUNAAAAAAAGAAUAAAUUAACUGUAAUGUGAUAGUGCA